rnacentral:rRNA from 1 species
AGUGAACGCUGGCGGCAGGCCUAAUACAUGCAAGUCGAACGGCAGCACAGCAGAGCUUGCUCUGUGGGUGGCGAGUGGCGGACGGGUGAGGAAUACAUGGGAAUCUGCCCAGUCGUGGGGGAUAACGUAGGGAAACUUACGCUAAUACCGCAUGCGCCCUUCGGGGGAAAGCCGGGGACCUUCGGGCCUGGCGCGAUUGGAUGAGCCCAUGUCGGAUUAGCUAGUUGGCGGGGUAAUGGCCCACCAAGGCGACGAUCCGUAGCUGGUCUGAGAGGAUGAUCAGCCACACUGGAACUGAGACACGGUCCAGACUCCUACGGGAGGCAGCAGUAGGGAAUAUUGGACAAUGGGCGCAAGCCUGAUCCAGCCAUGCCGCGUGAGUGAAGAAGGCCCUCGGGUUGUAAAGCUCUUUUGUCCGGAAAGAAAAGCGCCGGGUUAAUACCCUAGUGUCCUGACGGUACCGGAACGAAUAAGCACCGGCUAACUUCGUGCCAGCAGCCG